GUCUACAUCCAUACCAUCCUGAACUCAUUCAAUCUCUUCUGAUCUUAGAAGCUAAGUAGGGUCUGGCCUGGUUAGUACCUAGAUGGAAGAGAGGAUAUUUGCUAAAACUGGUGAGUUAGAUA
rnacentral:rRNA from 1 species